rnacentral:rRNA from 1 species
UACGUAGGUGGCAAGCGUUGUCCGGAUUUACUGGGCGUAAAGAGCGCGCAGGCGGUCGGAUAAGUCGAAUGUGAAAGCCCCCGGCUCAACUGGGGAGGGUUAUUCGAUACUGUUCGACUCGAAGGCAGGAGAGGGAAGUGGAAUUCCCGGUGUAGUGGUGAAAUGCGUAGAUAUCGGGAGGAACACCAGUGGCGAAGGCGACUUCCUGGCCUGUUCUUGACGCUGAGGCGCGAAAGCUAGGGGAGCAAACAGG